rnacentral:rRNA from 1 species
GACGAACGCUGGCGGCGUGCUUAACACAUGCAAGUCGAACGGAAAGGCCCUGCUUUUGUGGGGUGCUCGAGUGGCGAACGGGUGAGUAACACGUGAGUAACCUGCCCUUGACUUUGGGAUAACUUCAGGAAACUGGGGCUAAUACCGGAUAGGAGCUCCUGCUGCAUGGUGGGGGUUGGAAAGUUUCGGUGGUUGGGGAUGGACUCGCGGCUUAUCAGCUUGUUGGUGGGGUAGUGGCUUACCAAGGCUUUGACGGGUAGCCGGCCUGAGAGGGUGACCGGCCACAUUGGGACUAAGAUACGGCCCAGACUCCUACGGGAGGCAGCAGUGGGGAAUAUUGCACAAUGGGCGGAAGCCUGAUGCAGCAACGCCGCGUGCGGGAUGACGGCCUUCGGGUUGUAAACCGCUUUCGCCUGUGACGAAGCGUGAGUGACGGUAAUGGGUAAAGAAGCACCGGCUAACUACGUG